UCGCAGGCCAGUCGCAGGCCAGUCGCGCCGCGGGGCGGGUCCCCAACGCCGGCCGCUACGUGCAGCCCCACCGCGGCUGGAUGGAGCCCGGCGACGCUCUCGCGGGCGGUCGCAGCGCCGCGGCCACCCCCAUCGAAUCCGGGGCGUCCCAGGAGCAUCCACCCUUUCCUCCCCGGAGGCGGGGAAGGUCACGGGUUACAUAACCCGGGCCACCGCUGCAUCGCGGCUGCACCCGGCCAAACCUGCCCACCGGGGGCCACGCGCCCGGGGAUCCAGGAGAGACGGAUGCGUGAUGGAGAAGGGGCUGGACAGAGCUGGGCGAUGGGCGAUGGGGGCGGGGAGUAGACGGACGUGACCAGAACGGAGUGGGAGGGGCGAGGACCGCCCGGCGCGGAGGACAAGGAUGCGGAGGAGCAGACGUGACCGGAAUGGAGGGGAGGGGCGAGAAGCGGAGCAUGAAUGGGGCAGGGCCCCACCAGGUCCAAGAUGCCCAGGAUCCAACACCGCCGUGGAAUGGGUGCCAGGAAUCCGCACGAGCCGGGCCGACGGGGUCCAGGUGGGCAUGCAUGGCGCUACCUCGGCCCCCGCUCACCUCUGGCGUGGUCCGGCUGGGGCUGCAGCUGGGAGGUCUCGAGUCUCCGGAGGCGUCACUCCUGUGCGGACUCGGCUGUCUCUGCCUCAAGGUUAUCCCGACAGUAGGGCCGCCGCAAUCCCUCCGCCGCCCCGCCCCCGACCCAAUCCUGGCUUCCCGCUCGCCCGGCCCGCCCUUCUGCGUGCUCACGGGGAGCAGUCAUUCAGAAGGAAGUGCCGCGAGGCCGGAACGGGCCUGCAGGUUGCCCUUUUGGGGAGGACUAUAUUCUGUGGCGGAAGGACACUGUACAUUGACUCACGGUGACGCUCGGUGGAGGCCAAUGAGGAAGCGAAGAGGCGGCAGGAUCCGCCCUCGGAGCCCCGCAGACCUCCUCCUCCCCCCCAGACCCUCGGGCGCCUUGGCCACCUGUUGCGGCCAAUUAGCACGUUGAGGAGGGCUCCUCUCCUGACCCUCCGUCCAGGCCACCCUGAUGCCCUGGCCUAUUGGGGCGGUACCCAGAUAUAGGGGUCCCCGGCAGCAUUCCCUCAGCGCCGCCCCACCCCUCCAGAUGCCCAUCCUAACGCACACCUCGGAGACUGAGCUGAAAAGGAGGUUGGGGAGCCUGAGAUGGGAUCAGAAGGUGGGGAGAGAUGGAGAUCGUGGGCUGGUUGGAGGUUGGGCCCUCCUUUGGGGCGCUCGGACUCGGGAGUGGGGGAAGGGAGAACUGGGGAGGGCGCAAUGUACUUGGAGCGCGAGCGCAAGGCCCUUCUGUUCUUAGGGUCAGGAAGCACAAAUUGGGGCCAUGUGAAUACAGUACUUUAGUAGGGCUGAAAUCCCUGAGAGUAGAAAUCCUAUAGAAGGUAUUAAUAUUAGUGCAGAACUGACCAUCAGGAAAUACUAAGUCAGAAUAUGAGAGUCAAUGAUCUUUGCUGGAGUCAGCACUUCUGUUUUCAACCUUGUAUAUUUAUAUCAAUAUUGUUGUUUUUCUUACAUUUUCUCCAAGGCAUUUUCCAGUUUCUCAGUAAUUGGCUAUCAACCAGUGAUAACAGAAGUUGUAUCAGGAAACAAAUGUAAACCCUUGCCUUUAUUCAGCGAAGUUUUGAGAGCAGAUACAAUGUUGCUUCAUUAAAAAUCGUUAAGACUCUUCUUUUAGGUUCUUUGCUUUUCCUGGAAAAUUAGACCAAUGGAUGUGACCUGCUCAGGCAGACACUGCUUGCAGCUGAAUCACAGGCCUUCAUUCUGCUUUCCUUUAGCUCAGAUAAGCUGGGAGGAAAAAGUGAGCCCAAAAGUAAAUUUCUGUUUGAGAUAAAAUCUUUUAAUUUCUUCUGUGAGCCUAUUUGGGUCCUUAGUUGAAGACAGGACGUAAAUGCUUGUUUAUUGAAGUGGUGAGAGCACAUGAAGUUGUUGAAAGAAAAAAAGGCCAUGCCCUACCAGGAGAAUCCUAUUCUUCCCUAUUCAGAGAGAGAGGAAUGGCGUAAGUGGCCCUCUUUGGCUCCUUAGAUAAGUACAGUGGUGGACAACUCUGGAGGUAUGGGGGAUAGUGAUCUGGUCAAUGUUGUACUAUGUUGCAUUUUAAAGUUCUAAAUCUAGAUAUACGAUGGAACCUUGGUUCUUGAACAUAACUUGUUCUGGAAGGCUGUUCAAGAAGUGAUUUGUUUGAAAACCAAAUCAUUUUUUUCCCAUCAGAAAUAAUGCAAGUUGAAUUAAUCCUUUCCAGACCCACAAAUGAUUCCGUUUUAACCUUUCUUAUAUACUGUUUAAUCUAUAAAUAAACACUUCUUUUCUUAAAUUUA